rnacentral:rRNA from 1 species
AUGGCUCCUACUCUCCAGGAUGUGUCCUUUUUAUUGGGACUACCAUUGGCAGGUCAUGCCAUAGGACCGUUGGAGGCACCGAUUGAUUGGCAGCUUGGUAUUGCACAGCGUUUCGCGGGUAUUUAUGACCGAGCUCCGGCGCUGACAUCGGAUAAUCACGGACCUAAGUACGAAUGGUUACUCCAUUUCCAGAUCCAAAAGUUCCGGGGUAUCCAAGGGUCCCGUUGA